rnacentral:rRNA from 1 species
UAGGGAAUCUUCGGCAAUGGGGGGAACCCUGACCGAGCAACGCCGCGUGAGUGAAGAAGGUUUUCGGAUCGUAAAGCUCUGUUGUUAAGGAAGAACGAGUGUGAGAAUGGAAAGUUCAUACUGUGACGGUACUUAACCAGAAAGGGACGGCUAACUACGUGCCAGCAGCCGCGGUAAUACGUAGGUCCCGAGCGUUGUCCGGAUUUAUUGGGCGUAAAGCGAGCGCAGGCGGUUAGAUAAGUCUGAAGUUAAAGGCAGUGGCUCAACCAUUGUAGGCUUUGGAAACUGUUUAACUUGAGUGCAGAAGGGGAGAGUGGAAUUCCAUGUGUAGCGGUGAAAUGCGUAGAUAUAUGGAGGAACACCGGUGGCGAAGGCGACUUGCUGGACUUCAACUGACGCUGAGGAACGAAAGCGUGGGUAGCAAACAGG